GACGAACGCUGGCGGCGUGCCUAAUACAUGCAAGUCGAACGCUUCACUUCGGUGAAGAGUGGCGAACGGGUGAGUAAUACAUAAGUAACCUGGCAUCUACAGGGGGAUAACUGAUGGAAACGUCAGCUAAGACCGCAUAGGUGUAGAGAUCGCAUGAACUCUAUAUGAAAAGUGCUACGGGACUGGUAGAUGAUGGACUUAUGGCGCAUUAGCUGGUUGGUAGGGUAACGUCCUACCAAGGCGACGAUGCGUAGCCGACCUGAGAGGGGGAGCGGCCACACUGGGACUGAGACACGGCCCAGACUCCUACGGGAGGCAGCAGUAGGGAAUUUUCGGCAAUGGGGGAAACCCUGACCGAGCAACGCCGCGUGAAGGAAGAAGUAAUUCGUUAUGUAAACUUCUGUCAUAGAGGAAGAACGGUGGAUAUAGGGAAUGAUAUCCAAGUGACGGUACUCUAUAAGAAAGCCACGGCUAACUACGUGCCAGCCGCCGCCGUAA
rnacentral:rRNA from 1 species